CUGGAAGAGAAGCUCUGGAGUCAGUUCUGCCACCCUGAACCCAGUCUGUCUGUUGCUUCCGCUACAGCCCGACAGGAACCAGGCGAGUCUCCUGUUUUGACAGGUCUGACAUCUGAAGAGCGUCUGUUGCAGUCAAAACGAGCAGGAAUAUUCUCCUGGAUUCAGGGGGAACACGCCACCAGCUCACGGAUCCACCAGGUUACGGCUGCGUUGCCGCGUCAGCAGAAGCGGCGCUGGCGAAGAGGCAGCGGCGUUGCUGUGGCGACGGGUCUGCAGCGAAGCUAACGCCACUCUGGCUGCUGAGGACCCAGAAUCAUAAUGUGAAGCAGAGCUAGCCACGCUAGCAUGCUAACACGUAUCAAAG
rnacentral:lncRNA from 1 species